ANNNNNNGNCUUANCCAGUCAUUGGUUUCACCUUCGACGGCCGCUUCCUAAAAGGUUAGCUAACCGGCUUCGGGCGCCCCCAACUUCCAUGGUGUGACGGGCGGUGUGUACAAGACCCGGGAACGCAUUCACCGCAGCAUUCUGAUCUGCGAUUACUAGUAACUCCAGCUUCAUGUAGGCGAGUUUCAGCCUACAAUCCGAACUGAGAAUGGCUUUAAGGGAUUAGCUCCACCUCGCGGCUUGGCAACCCUCUGUACCACCCAUUGUAGCACGUGUGUAGCCCUAAGCAUAAGGGGCAUGAUGAUUUGACGUCAUCCCCACCUUCCUCCGAGUUAUCCUCGGCAGUCCCUCUAGAGUGCCCAACUUAAUGCUGGCAACUAAAGGCAAGGGUUGCGCUCGUUGCGGGACUUAACCCAACAUCUCACGACACGAGCUGACGACAACCAUGCACCACCUGUCACCACUGUCCCCGAAGGGAAAUCUCCGAUUAGGGAGAGGUCAGUGGGAUGUCAAGCUUANGUAAGGGUCUUCGCGUUGCUUCGAAUUAACCACAUGCUCCGCUACUUGUGCGGGUCCCCGUCAUUUCCUUUGAGUUUCACUCUUUGCGAGCGUACUUUCCCAGCGGAGUACUUAAUGCGUUAGCUGCGGCACCGAGGGGGGUAACCCCCGACACUAGUACUCAUCGUUACGCGUGGACUACCAGGGUAUCUAAUCCUGUUUGCUCCCCCACGCUUUCCUGCUCAUGCCAGUUACAGUCCAGAGAGACCGCCUUCGCUACUGGUAUUCCUCCUAAUAAUCUACGCAUUCACCGCUACCACUAGGAAUUCNACUCUCCUUCUCUUGGCACUCAAGUCUCUAGUUUCAAAGGCUUACUAUCGUUGANNCGUAGCNUUCACUUUCUGACUUAAAAACACCUACGCACCCUUACGCCCAGNANUCGGAUAACG
rnacentral:rRNA from 1 species